rnacentral:lncRNA from 1 species
AGAAAAUGACAUCUUAAUUAUAACCACUGCAUUAUACGAGCUGGCCAAAUACAAUUUUACUAAAACAUAUAAGAAGGAAGCUGGCACAAUUAAUACAUAUGUGUUCAUAACCAUAACUCUUGAAAGAAAUACUGUUUUGGCUUCCUAGAGGUAAUACCAUUGGUCAACAUUAUCUGUAUCCAUAUGCCAAGCAGUCAAGGAGUGACCUCUUCAGGAAACAGUGAUAUUCUUGCUCCAGUUUGACAGAUAUCCUUACAGGGAAUUGAUGGCACUUGGGAUAAUCAAAAAAGAAAUGGAAAAUGGUUUAUAAAAGUAGUGUUCUUGAGGGUUAGGUAAAUCCUACUUUAGCAUUCAGAUAAAAACAAACAAACAAACAAACAAACAAACAAAAACAAACUCUGAAUUAAUGAAAGUUAUUUGAAACAUGUCAUUUACAUUUGUAAUUUUUGGCUAGAGCCUCUGCUGUUGUAAACUGCUGUAGCACCACUAAAAUCUGAGCAAUUACACCACUCUACAGCAAAUAAGGAUCUGGCUCAUGAUGUUUAUGCACAAAGCUUGCAGAAGGUACAUCUGCCAGAGAACACAAAUGCAAACUCAUAAACUGAGAAGGUAUUGAACCACAAGAUCAAAUACCAAUAACUUUUUGGAAGCCACAAUGAGAAAUUGAAAGAAUAAUAGGGCUGAAAGUUCGCAAAAAAUGAGAGCUCUUCUCAGAAAUGGCAAGGAUUUCCUUCAUGAGCUCCCUAACCUUUGUAUUCCUUGUUUAUCAAACCAUAAAUUAAAUUGGACAAUAGCUACCCACAGAGUUCUUAGUUCUCCGUUGUUUUGCAGGAUCCAUUGAAAACUGUCAAUAGAAUCUACAAUAGUAGUGUCUCCACACUAGACCUCUGAAGAGAAUGGGUAGAAAGAUGUGGAGUUUCAAGACACUGAUGUCCACAUCACCUCACCUGUUUGAAUCUUACUUUAUUUGGUUAAUGGAAGGAUGGCACCGGGACUGCAAGAACACAACAAUAUCACGAGCUGUCUAUGCCACCUGGCCAACUGUCAGAGCUCCAAAAGCCAAACCUGCAGCUGAGGCUGGACCAGCUGAGCUCGUCAUGGCUGGGAGCUGCAGAAGGGGAGGGAGGAAGGUGCAGCCCAGCCCUGGAUCAGAAAAAAGGGUCAGGGAGGUCCAUCCAAAGCCCACAGCCAGUGAAGAUAAAGGGACAGAGCCUUGGGACUGGAGAGCUACUUUUGAUGACACUCAAGAGGCAACAUCCAGCAGCUGCACUUCCCAUUACCAAACAUUUAAAAGUUUUGCAUUUUACAAUGUUUAACUCACCUUGAAAUAGGAACUUGCCAAACUCAUUUUGUCAAUGCUCAGGUAAAGUGGAGAAAAUGGCCAUAAAAUAUGAAUAAAGUAAAGCACUUGUGUAAUGAGCA